UAAGCGGAGGAAAAGAAACUAACAAGGAUUCCCCUAGUAACGGCGAGUGAACCGGGAAGAGCUCAAAUUUGAAAUCUGGCGUCCUCAGGGCGUCCGAGUUGUAAUCUAUAGAGGCGUUUUCCGUGCCGGACCGUGUCCAAGUUCCUUGGAACAGGAUAUCAAAGAGGGUGACAAUCCCGUACUUGACACGACGACCGGUGCUCUGUGAUACGUCUUCUACGAGUCGAGUUGUUUGGGAAUGCAGCUCAAAAUGGGUGGUGAGUUCCAUCUAAAGCUAAAUAUUGGCGAGAGACCGAUAGCGAACAAGUACCGUGAGGGAAAGAUGAAAAGCACUUUGGAAAGAGAGUUAAACAGUACGUGAAAUUGUUGAAAGGGAAACGAUUGAAGUCAGUCGUGACCGAGAGGCUCAGCCGGUUCUGCCGGUGUAUUCCCCUCGGUCGGGUCAACAUCAGUUUUGUCCGGUGGAUAAGGGCGGUAGGAAGGUGGCACCCUCGGGUGUGUUAUAGCCUGCCGUCGCAUACAUCGGGUGAGACUGAGGAACGCAGCUCGCCUUUAUGGCCGGGGUUCGCCCACGUCCGAGCUUAGGAUGUUGACAUAAUGGCUUUAAACGACCCGUCUUGAAACACGGACC
rnacentral:misc_RNA from 1 species